rnacentral:siRNA from 1 species
ACGCAAGUAUUGUUGUCCUGUAGA